rnacentral:tRNA from 1 species
GCUCGGGUGGUGGAACUGGUAGACACGCAGGUCUCAGAAGCCUGUGUCGGAGACGACGUGGGGGUUCAAGUCCCCCCCCGAGCAC